CCCUGAGCUGGGACAAGGCGGGCAGGCCGACCGGCGAAUACCUGGUCGGGCAGUGGCAGAACGGCAAAGCCGAGAUCGUGCUCCCGCCCGAGGUC
rnacentral:tRNA from 1 species